rnacentral:rRNA from 1 species
AGUGAACGCUGGCGGUAGGCCUAACACAUGCAAGUCGAACGACCGCACAGUAAGAGCUUGCUCUUACGGGUGGCGACUGGCGGACGGGUGAGGCAUACAUCGGAAUCUACUUUUUCGUGGGGGAUAACGUAGGGAAACUUACGCUACUACCGCAUACGACCUACGGGUGAAAGCAGUGGAUCUUCGGACCUUGCGCGACUGAAUGAGCCGACGUCGGAUUAGCUAGUUGGCGGGGUAAAGGCCCACCAAGGCGACGAUCCGUAGCUGGUCUGAGAGGAUGAUCAGCCACACUGGAACUGAGACACGGUCCAGACUCCUACGGGAGGCAGCAGUGGGGAAUAUUGGACAAUGGGCGCAAGCCUGAUCCAGCCAUACCGCGUGGGUGAAGAAGGCCUUCGGGUUGUAAAGCCCUUUUGUUGGGAAAGAAAAGCAGCAGGUUAAUACCCCGCUGUUCUGACGGUACCCAAAGAAUAAGCACCGGCUAACUUCGUG